CCUACGGGGGGCAGCAGUGGGGAAUAUUGCACAAUGGGGGAAACCCUGAUGCAGCGACGCCGCGUGAGUGAAGAAGUAUUUCGGUAUGUAAAGCUCUAUCAGCAGGAACGAGACAAGACGGUACCUGACUAAGAAGCCCCGGCUAACUACGUGCCAGCAGCCGCGGUAAUACGUAGGGGGCAAGCGUUAUCCGGAAUCACUGGGUGUAAAGGGAGCGUAGACGGCUGAGCAAGCCUGAAGUGAAAGGCGGGGGCCCAACCCCUGGACUGCUUUGGGAACUGUACGGCUGGAGUGCAGGAGAGGUA
rnacentral:rRNA from 1 species